rnacentral:rRNA from 1 species
UACGGGGGGAGCAAGCGUUGUUCGGAUUUACUGGGCGUAAAGGGCGCGUAGGCGGUCAGCACAAGUCAGUUGUGAAAUCUCCGGGCUUAACUCGGAAAGGUCAACUGAUACUGUGCGACUUGAGUGCAGAAGGGGCAACUGGAAUUCUCGGUGUAGCGGUGAAAUGCGUAGAUAUCGAGAGGAACACCUGCGGCGAAGGCGGGUUGCUGGGCUGACACUGACGCUGAUGCGCGAAAGCCAGGGGAGCGAACGGG